rnacentral:lncRNA from 1 species
GGCCACAGCGAGAAGGAGGAGGAGAAGGAGGAGGAGGAGGAGGAGUGGGCUUCGGGACUCCCCUAAGGGUCACCUUUCCUAAUGAUAUGGUUAUUGUGAGCGCAUGCACACGACACAGCCCACUCCCUGCACUGAGCCUUGGCCAGAGUCACGCAGGAAAAGACGCAAACUAAGGUAGCAGCCCAGGCCGUUCUGCUAGUUACUGCCGGUGGAACCUCGAAUUCUUGUUACUUUGAAAGAGAGAGUGAGGCUGACAACUUUGUGCAAUUCUGCCUCACUUGACAUCACUGGUGAUAACAUUUUGGUCUUCUUCUUGAGUACAAAGCACAACCACCAACCAGUUAAGACAGCAACCCUGAGAUGGAUACAUUUAGCCUUAAAGACAACUGCGAGUUUGAGGGAUGGGCCAAUCAGGGUCCCUCAAUUCCUCAAUUGGAACUCACUGGCAUCUGGGGUAUCUGAGAAGAAGAAGGAAGAGGAGGAGGAAGAAGAAGAAGAAAUAAUGAGGAGGAGGAGGAGGAGGAGGAGGAAGAGAAUCUCCUUAAGGAAGAAGUCCAAUAUCAAGUUGAUGAUAAAAUGCUGAUUCAGUAGUUCUAUAACAUUUUUCAUAUUUUGCUGCUUUAAGUCUCAUUUUCUCAGGAGAAUAUAGUAAUAACUUAAUAUUGCUUAUUUUAAAUCAUUAUCAAUGUGCUCUUUUGAAUCUAGAAGCAAGUGCAGUGGACAAGAGUAUCAGGCCUGGAGUCAGAAAGACCUUAGUUCAAAUUUGACCUCAGACACUUACUAGCUGUGUGACCCUGGUCAAGUCACAACUCUGACUUAGUUUCCUCAUCUGUAAAAUGGAGAUAAUAAUAGCAUCUCCCUCUCAGGGUUGUGAAGAACAAAUGAAAUUAUAAUAAUAAAAUUACUUAGCAUAGUGCUUGGCA